UUGAGAAUUCAAUUAUCUCACAUUGAAUUGAAUAAACAUCUUCAAUGAAAGCCAGAAAGACACAGGGAAAAUUCAGAUGUCUUUAAAAAGAAGCUACACAGGGUAUCGAAGGAUAUAGGCUCUCCAAAGUCUCACACAUGGACUUAUGCAAGGUUGCUCAUGUGCCAAGAAAUAAGGCAGGCCGCCUCAGCACUGCAUUAUGACUGAAACCCUAUGGGCACUAAAUUAAGAGAGUUAUCUCUUAGGAAUGCAGUGAUAAACAAGCAGUUAUAAUACUGACCAAGGAAAUAAUUUGGAUGCACAUCCAUUAAAGGAAUUACUGGAGUUAUUCAAUUUUAAAUCCUUAUUAAUCUUUUUAUAUCUUGGGUAAUACUAAUUCCCUAGGGCAUGCUAUUUAAAGCUUAGGGAACAUGCAUCCUCAAGGACCUACUGCCAGCAAAGAAGCUGUUUUCAACAUCUGGGAAUAAAAAUCACCACCAAAUAUAGAUCAUUGGGUCAACUUGCUUUGGGAAAUGGUGAAAUUCAGAAACGUAGCAGAAAAAGAAGACACAAGGUGAAGUUGAAGAAAGGAGAACAUCUGAAGCAACUUCUUAAUUUUUUUUUCUCCAAAUGACACUCAAUAGUAUGAGAAAAGAAACAUGAUUUCAAAAGAAUGGCCCCAAAUAAAGAGAUAUUAUUAUAACAAUUGCAAUUCAAUACUGAGAGGAUUUCCAGAAGAAUUUCAUCAAAUAACAAGUGUGUUAUUCAGAGAUCCAUAAUGAUAUGUUCAGACCCAAGUUCAGACACUUCUUUGGAAUGAUUGUAGCAGAAGAUAAAUUCAAAACAGACAGUAAGAAUUUUUAUAAUUUUUAGUAAUAGUACUAUA
rnacentral:lncRNA from 1 species